rnacentral:tRNA from 1 species
GCUCUAAAAGCUCAAUUGGUUUCGAGUGUUCGAUUGAAAAUCGAAAGGUUGCAGGUUCAAUCCCCGCUUAGAGCA